AAAUUUUCAAGCCACAGGUAUGCCUUAAUUCUACUUAGUACUUAGCAUAAACAUGAAAGUAUACUUUAUCUUCUGCAAAUACAUAAUAUUAUGCAUGCAAAUUGAUUCUUAGUGAAUAAAGCUAGUGAUUUCUUUGGAUCUACCAAAUGAUCAAAAGUUACUUGCACAAGUAAGUGUGUAUACAGAAUCAAAUUCUUAUUAAAAACUAUCUGGACACAUUGCUCUUUCCUCAUGAAUUUUCUUCAGAUAUAACAGUAUAGAUUUGUUAUCGUUUUAGCAUUUAAUUACUUGCAUUAAUUUUCUUAAAACUCAAAUUUCAUCUCUCUCUUUAGAAAGUGAGAGCCAAAGAGAGACUUGCAUACUCUCAUGGUUUGAAUCGAACAAUAUUUUAUUUUAAAGGAUUAUCAUUAUUGUAAAAAUUUGGUCUAGAGCCCAUUUCUCUAAGGAUUAGCCUGUCCAAAGUUUCUAGCAUGUUUAAGUUAUAUUUGAAUAUAAUGAAUGACUGUCAUGAAGGAUGGCUACAAUCAGCAGCUGUGCCUAUGUGCUCUGCAUUGCUAUAGGCUGAAUCUUGUAAUAGCUCGACAACUUCACUUCCUGUUGAUUUCACUAGGACCCAAGGUGCUUAAAAGAAAAGCUGACAAGAUAAUGACAAUUCCACUUUAUGCGGCUUCCAAGUUUUAACAUUUGUUUUGAUUUCACGCUGAAUUGUCUGUUUCUGUACUGAAAAAAAUGAACCUGAGAGCCUAUGCCCAAGUAACUCAUAGACUCGGCUCUCCUUCAGCUGAAUGUUCCAGGCAGUGUGAGCACAAGUGUGCACCACCAUCACCUUGCCUGCUUGGGCAACAGAUGGGUUCACACUCCAGUGUGUCCCACUGAGAACAUAUCUGCACUCUUAAUGCAAUUUCUGGAAUUUCUGGAAGAAGUAAUUUCUGAAGUUAAUUUAAAGAUGUGUAGGAGAAUUGCAGCCCCCUCCCCCCCUCUCCACUCCUUCAUGCUUCCUGAUGAAGCCAAGUAUUCAGACUUGCCUUUGCUUGCUGUACAGAGCUAUCUGUGUGUGCCCAGCAAGCCUGAUGCACCCUGACAUACCACACAUGUGCUGGCCAUCUGUACAGUGCACAGGCAGGAGGUUCAGUGAGAUGCGUAUUUCUGCCUGUGAUAUUCUGGACAAAGAAAUGGGAGCCAUGUCCAUUUGCACUUACAUCAUGCUAACUUGGAAUGACCACACACUUGGUCAGUGCACCAGAGCUGUGGGUCUCCUCACUCAUUAUGAGCUGUGGGGUUUUCUCCUUUCAUCUCUAGUUACUCUGUUUGUGCCUGUACUGAUCUCUGUUUGACUCACCUUUCAGAGUCCAGACAGGCUGAGGAAGUGGUUACCCUUUGCAACUGCAAUCAUGUGAAAGUUCUCUGAGCAGAGCCUCUCACAUACUCAAUUAUCCCUUCAGUGAAGUGAUUUGCACUGCUGUGGGCGGGUAGACCCGAACUCCCAGUGCACCACACUCAUUUAUCAGGUGAAAUGAGGCAAAGAAAGCAAGGUCAGAGAGUGUCCAUGCUGCUUACAAGCUGCAGAACCCUCAGGGCUGUCAUUGCCCAGAUUACUUAAAAUCUCAUUCCCUUCCCACUGUAUGAUUCCCCUUAUCAGCAGCUGCUCUCCACUCACUAGUGAGAGGAAGCAUAUUCGUUUAUGUUACCCUGUCCAAGAGCGCAAUGGGCACUGAAGACAAAAGCUACAACAGUGCUAUCCAUGCUAGUGAAAUAGGCUUCCUUCAGUCUUGGAGAGUCUGCUGAGAGAUGCUCAUCCUCCUGACAGGUUUUGGACACUACUUGAAAAAUUGACUACACCCGAACAAAGAGUGAUCACUGCACAGGCCUCAUCUGAGAGAUUUCCCCCAUUUUCUCUGCUUUCCCAAGUCAGAAAAAUGCCAUUUCAAAGUGGUCUCUGAGAACGGUUUUCAGAAGGAAAUCUGAAAUGCAAGCAUAUGAAAAUGGCAAAGGUGAAACUGGAUGUUAAAUGAAUACCUGAGUGGGAGGACAGAAUCAAUGGAAUAAUGGAGAAUAAUGAAAAAACCUAAGAACUACUUCUUUUGGACAGAACAAGAGAAGCACAAGAGUUCUCUGACCCAGUGGACCAUAAGAGCUAAACACCUAUGAUAGAUACGGGAAGGAGAGACCAAGAAAUGCAGUUAUCUACUUCUAAGGCCAUUAUUGCUCUGGGUGCACUUUGAAGGAUUUCUGAAGGAUCUGCCCUUCUCUACUGAAGACAGUCAGAAUGGCUUCAUAAAGCCAGGCUUGGGCACUGUGGUAUGAAUAUUAAAGAAUGCAUUAGUUUCUUUUCAUAUCUCUUGAAUAAUUUCACAACAAGUAACAGUAGCAUUGUCCUCCUGGUGAAAUAGGUGAAAAUCUACACCAAAUUGAACUAAUUCAGGGCUACCUAAUCCCCAGCAACAAUGCUAGAAACCACGCUGUUCUUUGCUCAUUACUUUGAGCCAUUUUUCCCAUUAAACUUCUCCUUUUUAAUAAAGGGC
rnacentral:lncRNA from 1 species